CCUACGGGAGGCAGCAGUGGGGGAUAUUGCACAAUGGGGGAAACCCUGAUGCAGCGACGCCGCGUGUGGGAAGACGGUCCUCUGGAUUGUAAACCACUUUCCCCAGGGACGAAGAUGACGGUACCUGGGGAGGAAGCUCCGGCUAACUACGUGCCAGCAGCCGCGGUAAUACGUAGGGAGCGAGCGUUGUCCGGCAUUACUGGGUGUAAAGGGAUCGUAGGCGGGUCUGCAAGUUGGGUGUAAAAUCUACCGGCUCAACCGGUAGCCGCACUCAAAACUGCAGUUCUUGAGUGAAGUAGAGGCAGGCGGAAUUCCUAGUGUAGCGGUGAAAGGCGUAGAUAUUAGGAGGAACACCAGUGGCGAAGGCGGCCUGCUGGGCUUUUACUGACGCUGAGGCUCGAAAGUGUGGGGAGCAAACAGGAUUAGAUACCCCAGUAGUC
rnacentral:rRNA from 1 species